CGCGUAGGCGGUCGGGCACGUCGAAUGUGAAAUCUCCGGGCUCAACCCGGAAACUGCGUUCGAUACGGCCUGGCUAGAGUUCGGUAGGGGAGAGUGGAACUCCUGGUGGAGCGGUGAAAUGCGUAGAUAUCAGGAGGAACGCCGGCGGCGAAAGCGACUCUCUGGACCGACACUGACGCUGAGGCGCGAAAGCUAGGGGAGCGAACG
rnacentral:rRNA from 1 species